rnacentral:rRNA from 1 species
AGUAGUUGAUCAGUGGCUCGAGGACGAACGCUGGCGGCGUGCCUAACACAUGCAAGUCGAACGGAGAUGUUGAUUUCGGUUGACGUCUUAGUGGCGAACGGGUGAGUAACGCGUGAACAAUCUGACCUUAAGAGGGGGAUAACAACGAGAAAUCGUUGCUAAUACCGCAUAAGACCACAAUGCCGCAUGGCGAAGGGGUCAAAGGAGCAAUCCGCUUAAGGAGGGGUUCGCGUCCCAUUAGGUAGUAGGUGAGGUAACGGCCCACCUAGCCGACGAUGGGUAGCCGAGCUGAGAGGCUGAUCGGCCACACUGGAACUGAGACACGGUCCAGACUCCUACGGGAGGCAGCAGUGGGGAAUAUUGGGCAAUGGGCGCAAGCCUGACCCAGCAACGCCGCGUGAGGGAAGAAGGUUUUCGGAUUGUAAACCUCUGUCGCAGAUGACGAAACGAAUGACGGUAAUCUGUGAGGAAGCCCCGGCUAACUACGUG